rnacentral:rRNA from 1 species
UACGUAGGGGGCAAGCGUUGUCCGGAAUCAUUGGGCGUAAAGAGCGUGUAGGCGGUUCGGUAGGUCCGUUGUGAAAACUCGAGGCUCAACCUCGAGACGCCGAUGGAAACCAUCGAACUAGAGUCCGGAAGAGGAGAGUGGAAUUCCUGGUGUAGCGGUGAAAUGCGCAGAUAUCAGGAAGAACACCCGUGGCUAAGGCGGCUCUCUAGUACGGUACUGACGCUGAGACGCGAAAGCGUGGGGAGCGAACAGG